GAUGAACGCUGGCGGCGUGCCUAAUACAUGCAAGUCGAGCGAACAGACGAGGAGCUUGCUCCUCUGACGUUAGCGGCGGACGGGUGAGUAACACGUGGAUAACCUACCUAUAAGACUGGGAUAACUUCGGGAAACCGGAGCUAAUACCGGAUAAUAUAUUGAACCGCAUGGUUCAAUAGUGAAAGACGGUUUUGCUGUCACUUAUAGAUGGAUCCGCGCCGCAUUAGCUAGUUGGUAAGGUAACGGCUUACCAAGGCAACGAUGCGUAGCCGACCUGAGAGGGUGAUCGGCCACAAUGGAACUGAGACACGGUCCAGACUCCUACGGGAGGCAGCAGUAGGGAAUCUUCCGCAAUGGGCGAAAGCCUGACGGAGCAACGCCGCGUGAGUGAUGAAGGGCUUCGGAUCGUAAAACUCUGUUAUUAGGGAAGAACAAAUGUGUAAGUAACUAUGCACGUCUUGACGGUACCGAAUCAGAAAGCCACGGCUAACUACGU
rnacentral:rRNA from 1 species